rnacentral:miRNA from 1 species
UCAUCUGGAAAUCUCAUUGAAUUGCAGUUUCUGAUUCUGUAGGUCUGAGAUUCUGCAUUUCUAACAAGCUCCCAGGUAAUGC